AGAGUUUGAUCAUGGCUCAGGACGAACGCUGGCGGCGUGCUUAACACAUGCAAGUCGAACGAGGUCCACGGUGUAGCAAUACACCUGAAGACCUAGUGGCGAACGGGUGCGUAACACGUGAGGAACUUGUCCCGGUCUCUGGGAUGACAGUUGGAAACGACUGCUAAUACCGGAUGACGUCGGAGCAUCGCAUGGUGCGCUGACGAAAGGGUUACUGGAUCGGGAGAGCCUCGCGGCCUAUCAGCUUGUUGGUGGGGUAACGGCCCACCAAGGCAUCGACGGGUAGCUGGUCUGAGAGGAUGAUCAGCCACACUGGGACUGAGACACGGCCCAGACUCCUACGGGAGGCAGCAGUGGGGAAUCUUGCGCAAUGGGCGAAAGCCUGACGCAGCAACGCCGCGUGCGGGAUGAAGGCUCUCGGGUUGUAAACCGCUUUCAGCAGGAACGAAAAUGACGGUACUUGCAGAAGAAGGUGCGGCCAACUAUGUGCCAGCAGCCGCGGUGAUACAUAGGCACCAAGCGUUGUCCGGAUUUAUUGGGCGUAAAGAGCUCGUAGGCGGUUCGGUAAGUCGGGUGUGAAAACUUUGGGCUCAACCCAAAGCCUGCAUCCGAUACUGCUGUGACUAGAGUUCGGUAGGGGAGCGGGGAAUUCCUAGUGUAGCGGUGAAAUGCGCAGAUAUUAGGAGGAACACCGGUGGCGAAGGCGCCGCUCUGGGCCGAUACUGACGCUGAGGAGCGAAAGCGUGGGUAGCAAACAGGAUUAGAUACCCUGGUAGUCCA
rnacentral:rRNA from 1 species